GAGUGGUAGAGGUGGGCGAUAGAGGUGACUACAGAGUGGUAGAGAUGACUACAGAGUGGUAGAGAUGACUACAGAGUGGUAGAGGUGACUACAGAGUGGUAGAGGUGACUACAGAGUGGUAGAGGUGACUACAGGGUGGUAGAGAUGACUACAGGGUGGUAGAGGUGACUAGAGAGUGGUAGAGGUGACAAUAGAGUGGUAGAGAAGGGGGAUAGAGGUGACUACAGAGUGGUAGAGGUGACUACAGAGUGGUAGAGAUGACUACAGAAUGGUAGAGGUAACUACAGAGUGGUAGAGGUGACUACAGAGUUGUAGAGGUGACUAAAGAGUGGUAGAGUUGACUGCAGAGUGGUAGAGGUGGGGGAUAGAGGUGACUACAGAGUGGUAGAGAUGACUACAGAGUGGUAGAGGUGACUACAGAGUGGUAGAGGUGACUACAGAGUGGUAGAGGUGACUACAGAGUGGUAGAAGUGACUACAGAGUGGUAGAGGUGGGGGGUAGAGGUGACUACAGAGUGGUAGAGGUGACUACAGAGUGGUAGAGGUGACUACAGAGUGGUAGAGGUGGGCGAUAGAGGUGACUACAGAGUAGUAGAGAUGACUACAGAGUGGUAGAGAUGACUACAGAGUGGUAGAGGUGACUACAGAGUGGUAGAGGUGACUACAGAGUGGUAGAGGUGACUACAGGGUGGUAGAGAUGACUACAGGGUGGUAGAGGUGACUAGAGAGUGGUAGAGGUGACAAUAGAGUGGUAGAGAAGGGGGAUAGAGG